rnacentral:tRNA from 1 species
GCGGGAAUAGCUCAGUUGGUAGAGCACGACCUUGCCCUUGCCAAGGUCGGGGUCGCGAGUUCGAGUCUCGUUUCCCGCUCCA